rnacentral:tRNA from 1 species
GUCCCCGUAGUCUAAUGGAUAUGACGUCGGCCUCCGAAGCCGAAGGUUGCAGGUUCGACUCCUGCCGGGGAUA